rnacentral:rRNA from 1 species
UACGAUGAGAGAUAACUUGUCGGAAUAUAGGGGAACCAUCCUCUAAGGCUAAGUAUUAUAAAUUUAGCGAUAGUGAACAGUACUGUAAAGGAACAUGUGAAAAAGUAUAAUAUAAAAUUAAUGAAAUAGAUAUUGAAUUAGUAACUCUAUAAGCAGCCGGAAUUAAAAUUAAAACAAUGACGGCGUACCUUUUGCAUAAUGGGUCAGCAAGUUAAUAGGAAUAGCAAGGUUAAAAGCCUUAGCGAAAGCGACUGAACUAAUUUAGGCUGUUACUAAUUGAAAAUCUGGUUAAUAGCGGUCUUAACUAUGAGGAUCCUAAGGUAGCGAAAUCAAUUGGCCAUUAAAUGUGGUCCGGUAUCAAUAAUGUAACGAAGGUCUCACUGUCUCUACAACUUGCUCAGUGAAAUUGAAUUACCCGUGCAGAUGCGGGUUACCCCCAGUGGGACGGGAAGACCCUAUGCAGCUUUACUGUAGUUAGUUAAAAGGUAUAGCUAGAAAUCGAAUGGAGAUCAAUCAACCAGUGUAAAGGUUGCGCAGAGUGUAAUGGCGGUAAGCAUACCUAACUGACAGACUUAAAAGUCGAACAGAUACGUAAGUAGGGCAUAGUGACCCCUCGCUAUAAAAUGGAAUAGACGGGGAUCAUUUGAUAAAAGUUACGCUAGGGAUAA